AUGACCCACACCACCCAUAGCGUUCUCAAUUGGAAAAAAAAGAACAUUCAUCAUAUUCUAAAACAAGGUCAUGGCUUGUACACAUCUAUGCUAGAAAAUAAGGAAAUCAGUGCAGCCAAAACCAGUGGGCAUAUUUUCAUUUCCGAGUUACCCAGACACUGCAAAUUAAACAAUAAAUUAUUUAGUUUGGAAUAUUUUGAUACACUCACUGGAAGUCUUGAUCAAAAGCAUGAUUAUGACGCUUCUUUGCAAAACAUAGCCAUGCCUUUAGAAGAGGCUAUUCAGAAGACACUGCUGCAGACAGACACAUGCUUGCUCAACAUCCAAGGAAGUGUCUGUGCCGUUUUCAAGGUCGAAACUGCUUUUGCAGUUUUCGAUCCUCAUUCUCGUAGUACUUGGGGUUCGGUUGCACCGGAUGGAACCAGCAUAGUAGCGCACUAUGCUACUGUGUAUGAGUUAUAUGAGCAUAUUGAGAACCUUGUCAAUUCCUUAUAUCAAAAUCAUCCACAUGCCCCAAACAAAGUGUUUGAAGUCACUGGUGUGAAAGCUGUUGAGGUAAACUCACCACUUACUGCUUUAACUGCACAGGCUGAAGCCAGAACUUCGGCACAUGACGGUACUUUGGACACUGACAGUGACUCUGAUCUCUGUGUCCUUUCGGUAACAGAUAGAAAUUCCCUUGCAGUAAACACGUCUUUUUCCCUUGAAACUGUGCAGCCUGUAGCAAACACUUCUACAUGUGACACAACUGUAAACAUUGACAGUGAUCCUCCAAUUCACACAGAGGGUGCAUCAGAUGUCUGUUUAAUUUCUGUAACAGAUAGCCCCAAUAUAAUGUUUACGGGAUUGACAUUAAGGGAAAAAAACAGGAUCUGCAACAAACUGAAUAUCGUACCAAGUUUAGAUCAAAAUAUUGUUGUACAAACCUUCGAUAUGGCACAGCCUGAGCCAUGCCAAACAACAUCCAUUGAAGGUGACGGUAAUUGUUUCUUUCGUUCUCUUUCGUCUGUAUUGAGUGGUUGCGAGUCACAUCACAAGGCCUUUCGAAAGGCUGUAGUGAAUCACGUCUCAAAUAAUCCACUUCAUUACAUUACUUGUCUAAGAAGGCAAUUUGCUUCUGUGGAGCAAUAUCUCAGGGACACAAAAAUGAAAUAUUUUGGAUCUUGGGCAACAGAGUUGGAAAUACAAGCUUCUGCAGAUUUGCUCUGUGUUGAUGUUUACACAUACAGUCAACAGAAAUGGAUUAAGUUUACAGCAAACAUUGAGCCGAUUUUAAGAAAAGCUAUAUAUCUGAAACACUGCAACGAAAGCCAUUAUGAACCAAUUGCAUGUGUCAAAGAAAAAACCUCUCUUGCAUGCUUUAGUUUAACUAGCUUCUGUGAAACGUUGCACAAAAUGUCCAAUGCAGAGCUUGUUUCACCACGUAAAAAAUUUACGAAUAAAGUACAUAAUCUAAGAAAAAAUAAAACAUAUGCUGAGGACACAGAAUAUAGGCAUGUUAAAAAGCUAAAAACACAACAAAGAUAUAAUUGUGAUGAACAGUAUCAAGCAAAUCGGAAAACUAGCAGUAUCGAAAAAUAUGCCAAUGAUGAACCGUUCAAACAACAAGUAAAAAACAGCAGUGUCAAAAAAUAUGCUAAUAAUGAAUCAUUCAAACAACAAGUAAAAAACCACAGUAUUGAAAAAUAUGCCAACAAUGAUCCAUUCAAACAACAAGUAAAAAACCGCAGUAUUGAAAAAUAUGCUAAUAAUGAACCGUUCAAACAACAGGUAAUAAACAGCAAUAUCGAAAAAUAUGCAAUCAAUCCUUUCUAUCGUAACCAGGUGAUACAAAGUAUUGUUAUCAAAUACAGAGACGAUCCGGCUUAUAAGCCCUCUGUUAUUGAAAGAAACUGUCAAAGGAGACUUAAUCUAACCCUCUUAAAACACAAUAUUGACUUUGUAAUUGAGCUCUUCCAAGAAGAGGUCAAACAUGGACCAGAACAUGUUUGUUGUGUAUGUCACAGAUUAUUGUUCCGUAAACAAGUUAGAUUAUGUGACAUAACUUCAUAUGAAUCCAAGGCUUCAACUGUGUCAGCAAUUGCAAAACAAUGCAUUACCACAAAAUAUCUCCAUCAAUGUGAUAACGCAUGUUUAUCGCCAUGCACACUAAAACAGACAGUUGCUGGUAAAUUGUGGAUAUGUUUCAGUUGCAACUCCAAGUUACUCAGUGGUAAGGUUCCCCAGGAGAGCGCUGUGAACAAUAUGGCAUUAGAUCCAAUUCCUGACGAAUUAGGCACACUGAACUCAUUAGAACAACACCUGUGCGCAUUGAAUAUUCCCUUUAUGCGACUUGUGGCAUUGCCACGAGGUUCUCAGAAUUCUGUCCAUGGGCCGGUGACUUGCGUUCCAUCAAACAGCGAUGUAGUCACUUCGGUUCUCCCAAGGCUAGAAAAUCAGGAUUUAAUGAUCUGA
rnacentral:lncRNA from 1 species